AAGUCGUAACAAGGUUUCCGUAGGUGAACCUGCGGAAGGAUCAUUAUUGAAUGAACAUAGAGUCGGUUGUAGCUGGCCCCUUUUAACCGGGGGGCAUGUGCACGCCUUCUCUUUUCAUCCAUACACACACCUGUGAACUUGUGAGACGGAUUUCGACCCUCUCCGGGGGGGAAAGGUCCGUCUGCUAUACAUAAACUCCUGAAUAAUAAAUUAGAAUGUAAUCGAUGUAACGCAUCUUUAAACUAAGUUUCAACAACGGAUCUCUUGGCUCUCGCAUCGAUGAAGAACGCAGCGAAAUGCGAUAAGUAAUGUGAAUUGCAGAAUUCAGUGAAUCAUCGAAUCUUUGAACGCACCUUGCGCUCCUUGGUAUUCCUCGGAGCAUGCCUGUUUGAGUAUCAUGAAAUCUUCAAAAUAAAUCUUUUGUUCACUCGAUUGAUUUUAUUUUGGACUUGGAGGCUUGCAGAUUCACGUCUGCUCCUCUUAAAUUUAUUAGCUGGAUCUCGGUGAGCUCGGUUCCACUCGGCGUGAUAAGUAUCACUCGCUGAGGACACUGUAAAAGGUGGCCGGGAUUGCGGAUGAACCGCUUCUAAUAGUCCAUUGACUUGGACAAUAAAUACUUUAUGAUCUGAUCUCAAAUCAGGUAGGACUACCCGCUGAACUUAAGCAUAUUCUUGGUCAUUUUAGAGGAAGUAACAAGGAUUCCCCUAGUAACGGCGAGUGAAGCGGGAAGAGCUCAAAUUUAAAAUCUGGCGGUCUCACCGUCCGAGUUGUAGUCUAGAGAAGCAUCAUCUACGCUGGACCGUGUACAAGUCUCCUGAAU
rnacentral:sRNA from 1 species